ensembl:lncRNA
UUUUUUUUUUUUUUUUGAGACAGAGUCUCACUCUGUCGCCCAGGCUGGAGUGCAGUGGUGCGAUCUUGGUUCACUGCAACCUCCACCUCCUGGGUUCAAACGAUUUUCCUGCCACAGCCUCCCAAGCAGCUGGGAUUACAGGCAUGUGCCAACACGCCUGGCUAAUUUUUGUAUUUUUAAUAGAGACGCGGUUUCACCAUGUUGACCAGGCUGGUCUCCAACUCCUGACUUCAGGUGAUCCACCCGCCUCAGCCUCCCAAAGUGCUGGGAUUACAUAAGCCACCGCACCUGGCCAGGAAGGGUGAUUCUUAAGCUGGGGUUCAAUGGACACAUCCUGUGUGAUAUGGGGGUCCUGAGAGGCAGACGUGGUUGUUUUCAGAGCCCCCAGUGAAACUGCCUUUCAGUGCCAGUGCCAGGUGGCUGGCAGGCAGCCCUGUGCUCUUGGGAGAUGAAGGGGAUGGACGUGGUAUUUGCCGUGUGCCUUUCCCGGGAUGUGUCUUUUGCCUGGCACAUGGCCUGAUGCCUAGUUGUCUGACCUGCAACCAGGAGUCCCUCCAGGAAACUUGCUUACACUGGCAGACGUCCCAUGGCUCCUGUCUGAUUCACGUCCAGGUUAUGCCUGCCUGACCAUCGCUCUGGUGCUGGGGCCUGCCCUGUGUCCCCCACAUGCCUGAGAAAACCCAGCCUGGGCAGCCCCUGGUUCUUCCUUGUGGAAGGUGCAAAUUCAGUCCCCACCACAAUAGGAAACACGUUCAAAGACUUACUACUCACAGAUCCUGGGCAGGAGGCGGAGUGGGGAGGGCCAUCCUCCACCCCAGAUCCCAUGAGGCAGAAGUGAAGGGUCCGGCAGAAAGAAGAGAGAGUGUGUGGUAACGAGCCGUACGCACAGGGAAUGGGGAGUGGUCAGUGCAGUUCACGGUCAAAUGCCUGAAUGGUCUGAUUAAAGGAAGUGCAGGGAGCACGGGGAGCCCAGGCUCCUGGGUGGGAGAGACGCCCCUAAAUGCCCAUCUCUGGCCACUGGCAUGGGCGGUUGAGCGUGGUGUCCUCCUGGUGCCCAGGCUGCAGGCUUGGCCGUGCUGCCUGUUAGAACAGUCCCUACCUACACCACCUAUAAGACACAUGACACUAUACAAAGCCUCGGCACAGGCCGGGGAGUGACACAGGCCGGGGGUGACCGGUGCCGAGGGGCCCUUGGGCGUGGGGCAGAUGAGGUGAGAAUUGAGCCAUCAAGCAGCGAGGCAGCGUGCAUGUGAGUCUGCAGGCCGCGGCCGUGUUCAUGCGUGUGUCUGUGGGCGUAUGUGUGUGGGAAGUCGCAGUAGCUGCUCUGAGGUGACAUGGAGGCUGGACAUCAGCGGGUAAGUCCCGGGCACCAGGAGAAGGAUCUGUGGGGUCCCCAGCAUGGUCCUGCAGAGUUGGAUACCUGAGCUCGGUUCCAGCUCAGCCGCCUGCUCUCUGCCAGGGUCCUGUGAGCUUCCCACCUGCCGUGUGAGGGAGCUGACACCUUCCUGGCGGCAGGCGGUGGGGAGGCUGUGGGGCCACACUCUGCGGCUGAGGGAAGGAGGAACUCAGCCCGCUGAGUGUGUUCUCUCAUCGAGCCACAAAGGGAACAAUGCCUGCCGGGCAAGGGGCUGGGGCCGCAUCACGCCUGGGACCCGGAUGAGCACUGUCCAGGGCUCCUGUGAACAGGGGUGGGCCUGGGGCAGGGGCACCUGGGUGGGAGACAUGGGAGAGGCGGCCCCUGGGGGAGAGGGACUUAGCAUCCCUUCCAGAUGCAGGCCAGCAGCGGGUUCCACAACGUGAAGUGCUUUCUCUGUGGCCUGCACCCUGGGUUACCACAUCAGCAGGGUCCUUGGAGCCCCAGUGCCUCCAGAAAUGCCAGGGACAGUAUCGACAGUGCACUGACGGAUGGCACCAUGGACUGAACUUUGCCCCCUAAAAGAUGGUGGGGUCCCCCCACCUCUGGGCAUGGGGCCUUAUUGAAAAUAGAGUCUUCACAGGUGCCAUCAAGUCAAGGUCAGGUCAUUAGGGUGGGCCCUAAUCCAAGGACUGGUGCGGGGGGGAGGGUGACGUGCGGGUGCAGAGGAGUUGUGUGUUGACCACAGGAGCGAUGCCCCUGCCAGCCAAGAAGCACCAGGCCGCUGCGGCCACCCCUGGUCCCCACCCCCGCCCCACGGCACAGCCCGUCCACACCUGGGUGCUGGAUUUCCUCCUGAGCUGGAGACACUCAGACUCCUGUUGUGUUCGGCGCCCCAGGUUGUGACCCCUUGAUGCAGCAGCCCAGGAGACCCAUAGUCCGGACCGGGACGAGGCCUCAGGCCCUGGCUCACCCCUGAUUCGAGGGACUUGUGGGAACAGGCCACUGCUGUCCGUGCCGACCACACCCCAGUCCCUGCAUACCCACAGCAGGUGCACUGAGGGUUCCGAGAAAAGCACUGCGUGGGUGCCACUCCCAUUUUCCGGGGCUGGCGCCACAGCCGCUCCUCUCCAGAGGCUCUGGGAAGCUCACAUGGCGGACUCUGCGGGGGUCGCACUGGCUCCAGGUUCAGCCUGCCACCCUCUGCUGGAAGAGCCCAAACCGUGGCCAAGACCAGGACUGCACGUCAGAGGGGCCGGUCGGCUUCCAGCCAGGCUUCUACCCGCUGAGGCCUGGGCUCUGAGUGGGUGCCAUGUGGAGUCUCCCCUUGCCCUGCAAAAAUGUAUCUCCGGUUGGGUGCAGUGGCUCACGCCUG